GACAGAGGCCCCAAGCGUUUAGGCGGAAUCACUGGGCUUAAAGCGUGUGUAGGCGGAUCGUUAAGUGUCUUGUGAAAUCCCACGGCUCACCCGUGGAACUGCUGGGCAUACUGGCGAUCUUGGGCCAACUAGGGGCAGUCGGAACAAGCGGUGGAGCGGUGAAAUGCGUAGAUAUCGCUUGGAACGCCGAAGGUGAAAACAGACUGCUGGGGUUGCGCCGACGCUGAGACACGAAAGCCAGGGGGAGCAAACGGG
rnacentral:rRNA from 1 species